rnacentral:rRNA from 1 species
ACACGCUGGCGGCGUGCUUAACACAUGCAAGUCGAACGAGAAUCUGUGGAUCGAGGAUUCGUCCAAGUGAAGCAGAGGACAGUGGCGGACGGGUGAGUAACGCGUGAGGAACCUGCCUUUCAGAGGGGGACAACAGUUGGAAACGACUGCUAAUACCGCAUGAUACAUUUGGGUGGCAUCAUCUGAAUGUCAAAGAUUUAUCGCUGAAAGAUGGCCUCGCGUCUGAUUAGCUAGUUGGUGAGGUAACGGCCCACCAAGGCGACGAUCAGUAGCCGGACUGAGAGGUUGAACGGCCACAUUGGGACUGAGAUACGGCCCAGACUCCUACGGGAGGCAGCAGUGGGGAAUAUUGGGCAAUGGGCGCAAGCCUGACCCAGCAACGCCGCGUGAAGGAAGAAGGCUUUCGGGUUGUAAACUUCUUUUGUCAGGGACGAGUAGAAGACGGUACCUGACGAAUAAGCCACGGCUAACUACGUG